UACGUAGGGGGCAAGCGUUGUCCGGAAUCAUUGGGCGUAAAGAGCGUGUAGGCGGCUUGGCAAGUCUCGCGUGAAAUCCUGCGGCUCAACCGCAGGCGGUCGCGGGAAACUGCCUCGCUAGAGUCCGGAAGAGGAGAGUGGAAUUCCUGGUGUAGCGGUGGAAUGCGCAGAUAUCAGGAAGAACACCAAUUGCGAAGGCAGCUCGCUGGGACGUUACUGACGCUGAGACGCGAAAGCGUGGGGAGCAAACAGG
rnacentral:rRNA from 1 species